AGUGAACGCUGGCGGUAGGCCUAACACAUGCAAGUCGAACGGCAGCACAGAGGAGCUUGCUCCUUGGGUGGCGAGUGGCGGACGGGUGAGGAAUACAUCGGAAUCUACUCUGUCGUGGGGGAUAACGUAGGGAAACUUACGCUAAUACCGCAUACGACCUACGGGUGAAAGCAGGGGAUCUUCGGACCUUGCGCGAUUGAAUGAGCCGAUGUCGGAUUAGCUAGUUGGCGGGGUAAAGGCCCACCAAGGCGACGAUCCGUAGCUGGUCUGAGAGGAUGAUCAGCCACACUGGAACUGAGACACGGUCCAGGCUCCUACGGGAGUCAGCAGUGGGGAAUAUUGGACAAUGGGCGCAAGCCUGAUCCAGCCAUACCGCGUGGGUGAAGAAGGCCUUCGGGUUGUAAAGCCCUUUUGUUGGGAAAGAAAUCCAUCUGGUUAAUACCCGGGUGGGAUGACGGUACCCAAAGAAUAAGCACCGGCUAACUUCGUGCCAGCAGCCGCGGUAA
rnacentral:rRNA from 1 species